rnacentral:lncRNA from 1 species
AGGGAGCAGACGUGGACCAUGGACCCCACACAGUGAAGCUGAGGCUGAGUGGUUUUGAAUUGGGAUGGGACUAUCUCCACAUCCAAACCCUGCCCCUUCCUAGGUGUGUGUCUUCAACAAAUGACUGAACUUCUCUGGACCUUGCUCCCCUUAUUAUAAGGACCAUCAUGCUCACUUCAUGAGGCUCUAAUGAAGGUUAAAGGAGACAGCACUAAGGGAGUAGUAAUGCUCAAAAAACAGUAGCUGUAAUAAUAAUAAUUAAUAUUACAAUUAGAUCCAUCCCCACUUGCAUCUGUGCCUGCACCUGCACUGCACCUGAGCCAUCCUCCACCUGCACCUGAGCCAUCCUCCACCUGUACCUGCAUCUGCACCUGAGCCAUCCUCCACCUGCACCUGCAUCUGCACCUGAGCCAUCCUCCACCUGCACCUGAGCCAUCCUCCACCUGUACCUGCAUCUGCACCUGAGCCAUCCUCCACCUGCACCUGCAUCUGCACCUGAGCCAUCCUCCACCUGCACCUGCAUCUGCACCUGAGCCAUCCUCCACCUGCACCUGAGCCAUCCUCCACCUGUACCUGCAGUGCCGUCGCCACCUCUGCCACCACUGUUCUCACCAGCCCCAGCCCCACCCCGACUGUCAGCUACCACAAGGCCUUCCCUCCUGAAAGCUCCAUGGCCAUAAACAGUUUAUGUGAUUAUUACAUUUAGCCCACAUUUGCAAUGACUUCCUCUCUUUAAUCACUUUGAAGAUGUUUCAAAUUCCUUUCCAACGUGACUGAAAUCAAAGUGGCACCUGUGAAGGGAGAAAGCCUGCCUGCCGGUGCGAGGUGGAGACGUAAAACAGUCAGGUUUGAUGGGGAGAAAUUAUGUCUUGCUUAAUUCCUUUUACCCUAUAAUUACCAGGCGCGACCACGUGGGUUCACAGCAAAAAUAACUUGCCACGUGAAGACGUUGUCUAUAGAAUCCUGGUUUGAGUCCCCAGGCAAGACCCUCAGAGGAGGAUCCCAGGCAGCCCCCGUCCAGGCAUCUACACAGUACUGUGGUCCACCUUCCUCACUAGCUUUCCAACCCCACCCCUGACCCCCAACCACCGAGGCUCAAUUCCCAGGCACCCACUCUGCCUUAUCCUCUUCCCCUCUCUGCAGCAUUUGACUGGCGGUCACCUCCCUCUUCACACUCUUCCCUGGUUUGACUUCCCUAUGCCUCACCCCACCCUCAGUCUCCUUUGUAUCUCUCUCCCCUCCUCCCUUUCACCACCCCCUGGGCACCAGCAUCCCUGAGGCCCUAUCAGCAUCUCUCUUCUCUUUCUUCUUUCCUCCCCGUCUCUCCUUUUUCUCUCUCACAUCUCCUCUCUCCUCUUCACUCCCAUUCCUUCAGACAGCAGGUCUACCCUUCAGACUCUCAAACCCACAGCCCAUCUGCGAUCUCCAGACUUCAGGCCUCUAACUUCCACUUCCAGCUGCUGGCUUAGUGUUUCCACUGGAUACCCUGCUGCGUCCAAACCCACGCCCUCCUGAUUUCUCUUUCUCCAGUAGAACCUGUGCAGAACAAUGUCAAAGAGGCCCUGGAUUAAAGAACAUUUCAGUGUGGAGACUCUCGGACGGCACACACUCCAAGAGCAAGAAUUCCUACGGGAAGAAGGUGCACUUUUGCAGGUCCUGAUGCCUCCGGGUCUUGGAUAACACCAUCCUCUACUUAGAGCUCCAGCCUCCAGCAUCCCCAAGCCAGCCUGCCCCCCACGCUGCCAGCAGAGACAUCUUUCUAAAACACAAAUGGAAUGUUACUGCUCAAAACCUUGCUGCAGCUUCUGGGGUGUUACUCUUGAAAGAAACUACAACAGUUCUCCAGCUUCUCCGGAAUCCCCCAACCCACCUCAGCCAGAGGGAAGAAAAUUUGGGCAAUCUGCAACUUGAGGCAACAACGGAAG